GAGACCAGUUCUCAUCACUCCAUCCACCCGCCCGUCAUGUGUGUGCAUCGAUUUUUCCCACUUCUGCUAGAGUUGGCUCCCCCAGUGUUUUGAUUUGGCUUCAGGCUCUUACUCCGCAUCUUUAUGAAAUCGCGUGUCAAGUGGAAUUAUUCGCAAAAAUUGUACUACGAGUGCGGCGUCAUGGCCAUGAGCACCUACUCAUAACCAUUGUAGGAUUUAUUUUAUCUAUUUGGCCUUUGGGAUCAUAUAGAUACUACGGAUACAGGGAGUCUGACAAGACAACCUUCAGCGAGAAUGUCAAGGUUUCAAGAGGUCUGAAAAGAGUACUUCGAGAAGUAUUAUUAUAUAGAUAGUUAUUUGAAAGUUUCUUGACUUUUCCAUGCGUUGUCAUGGUUUUCUGAAACCCCUUAGUAGUCAUAAUUUUUCCUAAACCUUAUCAGAAUACUGUUCCCUUGUCCCACCCAACAGAGCCCCUCAGAAAAUAAACAAAAGUGUGAAAACGAAAGCUAAUAGGACGCGAAAAUGUAUUUAUUUACGUUUCGAAUAAUCUGUUCUACUUUAUCUCUGCUCUCUGCCUGUGGGCUCUAUUUUGUUUUAAAUAUUUUCAAAAAUGUUGUAUAAUUUCAGCGACAGCCUCGCUCUUGCUCUUGUCCCCUCGAACGCACUCGUAUAGUUGCUUGCCAAGAAAUAUAUUUAUAUAUGUAGAUAUUCGAACAGAUAUAAUAUCGAGAAUUAAGUUGUUUGUUAGCUAAUAUAGUUGGAUAGUACGGCGUCUCUAGACACUCGGCAGCUGGUUGCAAGCCAUAGAACUGACAACGCCACUGUCCACACGCUCCAAAGCCAUCAGGCUUUUAUCUAAUCAGCCCAGCUGAGCUUAGGCACGGGACUCUUUCUUAUCGACAUGCUCGCCCAGGCAUUCAAAUCACUUGUAAUUUGACCCACGUCCACUUGGCUUGCGUUUUGCGAUUCCCCAAAUCUCUCUACAAAAAACUGCAAAUAAGCAAAAGCGAAAUAGCUCACUGGAUGACUGGGAAUGAGUCCCCACCGUCAGCAUUGACGUCCGCCGGAGAACAGAGACCCACAAACUAGACCCAAAUUUUCCCCCCAGGCAGUUCUCUAAAUUCUGUGAAUAAUCUAAGCUAUAUACAAAGUAUUCCAAUUGCAUAUAGAGCGUGCAAAGGCAAAAUGAAAAGAAAA